CACGUAGGGGGCAAGCGCUGUCCGGAUUUAUUGGGCGUAAAGAGCUCGUAGGCUGUUCGGUAAGUCGGGUGUGAAACCUCCAGGCUCAACCUGGAGACGCCACCCGAUACUGUCAUGACUAGAGUCCGGUAGGGGAGCGUGGAAUUCCUGGUGUAGCGGUGAAAUGCGCAGAUAUCAGGAGGAACACCAGCGGCGAAGGCGGCGCUCUGGGCCGGUACUGACGCUGAGGAGCGAAAGCGUGGGUAGCAAACAGG
rnacentral:rRNA from 1 species